AGUGAACGCUGGCGGUAGGCCUAACACAUGCAAGUCGAACGGCAGCACAGUAAGAGCUUGCUCUUACGGGUGGCGAGUGGCGGACGGGUGAGGAAUACAUCGGAAUCUACUUUUUCGUGGGGGAUAACGUAGGGAAACUUACGCUAAUACCGCAUACGACCUACGGGUGAAAGCAGGGGAUCUUCGGACCUUGCGCGAUUGAAUGAGCCGAUGUCGGAUUAGCUAGUUGGCGGGGUAAAGGCCCACCAAGGCGACGAUCCGUAGCUGGUCUGAGAGGAUGAUCAGCCACACUGGAACUGAGACACGGUCCAGACUCCUACGGGAGGCAGCGGUGGGGAAGAUUGGACAAUGGGCGCAAGCCUGAUCCAGCCAUACCGCGUGGGUGAAGAAGGCCUUCGGGUUGUAAAGCCCUUUUGUUGGGAAAGAAAAGCAGCAGGUUAAUACCCCGCUGUUCUGACGGUACCCAAAGAAUAAGCACCGGCUAACUUCGUG
rnacentral:rRNA from 1 species